AAGGUGUGUCGUGAGGCAUGCUGGAGGUAUCAGAAGUGCGAAUGCUGACAUAAGUAACGAUAAAGCGGGUGAAAAGCCCGCUCGCCGGAAGACCAAGGGUUCCUGUCCAACGUUAAUCGGGGCAGGGUGAGUCGACCCCUAAGGCGAGGCCGAAAGGCGUAGUCGAUGGGAAACGGGUUAAUAUUCCCGUACUUGGUGUUACUGCGAAGGGGGGACGGAGAAGGCUAUGUUGGCCGGGCGACGGUUGUCCCGGUUUAAGCGUGUAGGUGUGUGUUCCAGGUAAAUCCGGUUCACUUUAACACUGAGGCGUGACGACGAGGCACUACGGUGCUGAAGCAACAAAUGCCCUGCUUCCAGGAAAAGCCUCUAAGCAUCAGGUAACAUCAAAUCGUACCCCAAACCGACACAGGUGGUCAGGUAGAGAAUACCAAGGCGCUUGAGAGAACUCGGGUGAAGGAACUAGGCAAAAUGGUGCCGUAACUUCGGGAGAAGGCACGCUGACACGUAGGUGAAGUGAUUUACUCAUGGAGCUGAAGUCAGUCGAAGAUACCAGCUGGCUGCAACUGUUUAUUAAAAACACAGCACUGUGCAAACACGAAAGUGGACGUAUACGGUGUGACGCCUGCCCGGUGCCGGAAGGUUAAUUGAUGGGGUCAGCGCAAGCGAAGCUCCUGAUCGAAGCCCCGGUAAACGGCGGCCGUAACUAUAACGGUCCUAAGGUAGCGAAAUUCCUUGUCGGGUAAGUUCCGACCUGCACGAAUGGCGUAAUGAUGGCCAGGCUGUCUCCACCCGAGACUCAGUGAAAUUGAACUCGCUGUGAAGAUGCAGUGUACCCGCGGCAAGACGGAAAGACCCCGUGAACCUUUACUAUAGCUUGACACUGAACAUUGAGCCUUGAUGUGUAGGAUAGGUGGGAGGCUUUGAAGUGUGGACGCCAGUCUGCAUGGAGCCGACCUUGAAAUACCACCCUUUAAUGUUUGAUGUUCUAACGUGGACCCGUUACCCGGGUUGCGGACAGUGUCUGGUGGGUAGUUUGACUGGGGCGGUCUCCUCCUAAAGAGUAACGGAGGAGCACGAAGGUUGGCUAAUCCUGGUCGGACAUCAGGAGGUUAGUGCAAUGGCAUAAGCCAGCUUGACUGCGAGCGUGACGGCGCGAGCAGGUGCGAAAGCAGGUCAUAGUGAUCCGGUGGUUCUGAAUGGAAGGGCCAUCGCUCAACGGAUAAAAGGUACUCCGGGGAUAACAGGCUGAUACCGCCCAAGAGUUCAUAUCGACGGCGGUGUUUGGCACCUCGAUGUCGGCUCAUCACAUCCUGGGGCUGAAGUAGGUCCCAAGGGUAUGGCUGUUCGCCAUUUAAAGUGGUACGCGAGCUGGGUUUAGAACGUCGUGAGACAGUUCGGUCCCUAUCUGCCGUGGGCGCUGGAGAACUGAGGGGGGCUGCUCCUAGUACGAGAGGACCGGAGUGGACGCAUCACUGGUGUUCGGGUUGUCAUGCCAAUGGCACUGCCCGGUAGCUAAAUGCGGAAGAGAUAAGUGCUGAAAGCAUCUAAGCACGAAACUUGCCCCGAG
rnacentral:rRNA from 1 species